UACACUGGUGGCGACCGGCGCACGGGUGAGUAACACGUGUGCAACCAACCCCGUACCGGGAGAUAACCCGCGGAAACGUGGACUAACAUCCCAUGAGACUUUAGAUCCGCAUGGCUCUAGAUUUAAAAUUCCGGUGGUACGGGACGGGCACGCGCGACAUUAGGUAGUUGGCGGGGUAAGGGCCCACCAAGCCGACGAUGUCUAGGGGUUCUGAGAGGAAGGUCCCCCACACUGGAACUGAGACACGGUCCAG
rnacentral:rRNA from 1 species